rnacentral:rRNA from 1 species
GCACAUGCUGUGAGCUCGAUGAGUAGGGCGGGACACGUGGUAUCCUGUCUGAAUAUGGGGGGACCAUCCUCCAAGGCUAAAUACUCCUGACUGACCGAUAGUGAACCAGUACCGUGAGGGAAAGGCGAAAAGAACCCCGGCGAGGGGAGUGAAAAAGAACCUGAAACCGUGUACGUACAAGCAGUGGGAGCACGCUUAGGCGUGUGACUGCGUACCUUUUGUAUAAUGGGUCAGCGACUUAUAUUCUGUAGCAAGGUUAACCGAAUAGGGGAGCCGAAGGGAAACCGAGUCUUAACUGGGCGUUAAGUUGCAGGGUAUAGACCCGAAACCCGGUGAUCUAGCCAUGGGCAGGUUGAAGGUUGGGUAACACUAACUGGAGGACCGAACCGACUAAUGUUGAAAAAUUAGCGGAUGACUUGUGGCUGGGGGUGAAAGGCCAAUCAAACCGGGAGAUAGCUGGUUCUCCCCGAAAGCUAUUUAGGUAGCGCCUCGUGAAUUCAUCUCCGGGGGUAGAGCACUGUUUCGGCAAGGGGGUCAUCCCGACUUACCAACCCGAUGCAAACUGCGAAUACCGGAGAAUGUUAUCACGGGAGACACACGGCGGGUGCUAACGUCCGUCGUGAAGAGGGAAACAACCCAGACCGCCAGCUAAGGUCCCAAAGUCAUGGUUAAGUGGGAAACGAUGUGGGAAGGCCCAGACAGCCAGGAUGUUGGCUUAGAAGCAGCCAUCAUUUAAAGAAAGCGUAAUAGCUCACUGGUCGAGUCGGCCUGCGCGGAAGAUGUAACGGGGCUAAACCAUG